rnacentral:rRNA from 1 species
AUUCCAGCUCCAAUGGCGUAUAUUAAAGUUGUUGCAGUUAAAAAGCUCGUAGUUGGAUUUCUGGCAGGAGCGACCGGUCGGCCCAUUGUGGUGUGUACUAGUGUUGCAUCUGGCCAUAUUUGUGGAGAGCGUGUGUGGCAUUAAUUUGUCGUGCUCGGGACCCGCAUCGUUUACUGUGAGAAAAUUAGAGUGUUCAAAGCAGGCUUAUGCCUUGGAUAUGUUAGCAUGGAAUAAUAAGAUAAGACUUUGGCGGUCUAUUUUGUUGGUUUGCACGCCAUUGUAAUGAUUGAUAGGGACAGUUGGGGGUAUUCAUAUUUAAUUGUCAGAGGUGAAAUUCUUGGAUUUAUGAAAGAUGAACUACUGCGAAAGCAUUUACCAAGGAUGUUUUCAUUA